rnacentral:rRNA from 1 species
ACGCUCGACACCUACUGGAGGCAGCAGUGGGGGAUAUUGCGCAAUGGGGGAAACCCUGACGCAGCAACGCCGCGUGAAGGACGAAGGUUUCGGAUUGUAAACUUCUUUUGUUAGGGACGAAGAAAUGACGGUACCUGACGAAUAAGCUCCGGCUAACUACGUGCCAGAGCCGCGGUAAUCUGAGCGGGCUGGCAAGGC